rnacentral:lncRNA from 1 species
AUGGAAGAAUACAUGGCAGGAGACAAUUGGGAUAUUUCCCAAGGAGUUAAGUUUUCUCUGGCCUCUUCCAGUGAACUACAAGUUUUGGUUUACCAGUUGGUCCUUGCAUGUUCUUGUGACUGGAGGUGUGCCAAAGUCUUAUAGAUGUUGGUAUGGAUAGAAAUCCAAUGACAGGUGAAGAUUCUAUCAGGUUG